rfam:Ovis aries breed Texel chromosome 3, whole genome shotgun sequence.
UCCCUGGUGGCUCAGAUGGUAAAGCGUCUGGCUACAAUGCAGGAGACCCGGGUUCGAGCCCUGGGUUGGGAA